GUGAACAUAGUUUACUAAAAACAUUAGGUUGUGAUCCUAAAAAAAAAGGUUAGACCCCUUUUAUUCACC
rnacentral:tRNA from 2 species